rnacentral:rRNA from 1 species
CAUGCAAGUCGAACGGAGAACCUUCGGGUUCUUAGUGGCGAACGGGUGAGUAAUACAUGAGGAACCUGCCCACGGGACGGGGAUAGCCGAUGGAAACGUUGGAUAAUACCGGAUGUGAGUACCGAAGGCAUCUUUGGUACUUGAAAGGGAGCUUACAAGCUUCGCGCGUGGAUGGCCUCAUGGCGCAUUAGUUAGUUGGCGGGGUAACGGCCCACCAAGACGAUGAUGCGUAGCCGAUCUGAGAGGACGGACGGCCACAUUGGGACUGAGACACGGCCCAGACUCCUACGGGAGGCAGCAGUAGGGAAUUUUCGGCAAUGGGCGAAAGCCUGACCGAGCAACGCCGCGUGAGUGAUGACGGCUCUAUGGGUUGUAAAGCUCUGUGGUUGGGAACGAACGGUACUUAUAGGAAAUGAUAAGUAAUUGACGGUACCCAUCUAGAAAGCUCCGGCUAACUACGUGCCAGCAGCCGCGGUAAUACGUAGGGAGCGAGCGUUAUCCGGAUUUAUUGGGCGUAAAGGGUGCGUAGGCGGCGGAUUAAGUCCGGGUUGAAAUUGCUGAGCUUAACUCAGUACUGGCUUGGAAACUGGUCUGCUAGAGUGCGGUAGAGGUUAGCGGAAUUCCAUGUGUAGCGGUAAAAUGCGUAGAUAUAUGGAGGAACACCGGUGGCGAAGGCGGCUAACUGGGCCGUAACUGACGCUGAUGCACGAAAGCGUGGGGAGCAAAUAGGAUUAGAUACCCUAGUAGUCCACGCUGUAAACGAUGAAUACUAAGUGCCGGGGAACUCGGUGCCUGCAGCUAACGCAUUAAGUAUUCCGCCUGGGGGAGUAUGCACCGCAGUGUAAAACUCAAAGGAAUUGACGGGACCUCGCACAAGCGGUGGAUUAUGUGUUUAAUUCGAUGCAACGCGAAGAACCUUACCAAGCCUUGGACAUCCCGGACUAAACUAUAGAAGAUAUAGCGGAGGUUGAAGGUGACAGGUGUGUGCAUGGUUGUCGUCAGCUCGUGUCGUGAGAUGUUGGGUUAAGUCCCGCAACGAGCGCAACCCUUGUCUUUCAGUUACCAUCAUUAAGUUGGGGACUCUGAAGAGACUGCCGGUGACAAACCGGAGGAAGGUGGGGAUGACGUCAAAUCAGCAUGCCCCUUAUGGCUUGGGCUACACACGUAAUACAAUGGCGUAUACAAAGAGCAGCGAUACAGUGAUGUAAAGCGAAUCUCGGAAAGUACGUCUCAGUUCGGAUCGGAGUCUGCAACUCGACUCCGUGAAGUUGGAAUCGCUAGUAAUCGCGGAUCAGCAUGCCGCGGUGAAUACGUUCUCGGGUCUUGUACACACCGCCCGUCAAACCAUGAGAGUUGGUAAUACCCGAAGCCGGUGGCCUAACCUGCAAGGGAAGGAACCG